CUCCAGUCGUAUUCAAGUCAGACCAGGCUUUUUCCAGGAAUUUCACUGGAUGCUCCAUUCAAAUCUCAAUCGAAAAGAAGUGCCUUUCAAUGUCCUUCAGAUGAGAAUUUAUCAUUAUUCCUUUUGGAAAAGUAAUCCAGCAAUAUACUGUAGUAAAAAGACAACUGCUUAGCUAACACCAGCUUCCCAACUGCUAAGUUAAAAAUAAAAUCCCUCCAUUUUGUGUUUCAUGGAACUGUUGGUCAGUAGCUGAAGAGGUGAAAGGGAGCAACGGAGGAUGUACCAGCAACUGGAAGAGAUCUCAGGAAGGAAAUGAGAAAGCUGCUGAAAUAACUUUGGGGGGGGGGGGAUUGGGAACAAUAAAAGAGUCGGGGAGAGUGGCAGUAACAGAAAAAUGGCUGAACAGCCAAGGACAUGAUGAAUGCAGAGUGGAGUCAGGAAGAUCAUUAACAGAUGAUGCAAGAAGAUAGGAGACUAAGGAGUCUAUUCUUUGCUGAUAGAAAUACCCUCUGCUAUCAACAAAUAGGAGAAGUUUUACAACUAAUAGCAGAAGAAAAGCUGCAAGCGCAACAGCCUGGUCCCCCGAUGAAAUACAGAACACAAACCAUAAUAAAUUUAACUCCCCUCAUCCUGCAAAGAAACAAUAUGCAAGCAGAAUAGAUCCGAUUCCACUGAGACCUGUUUUUUAGUCUAAUUGUAAAUGGUAAUCUGUCUUUUUAAUCUGACCACUGUAAAUAUUAAGAACUCUUAUUUAUUUACUCGUUGUCAGCUGACACUGUACACAAGUGCCAAGUCAACAGAGAUCAGGAAAAUGUUGAAAGCUUUACACCAGAGCAGCAAUUAACGGUAAUAGGACCUGUACACUCUACUACAAUGCGUUUUCAUUUCAUUGCUGUCAUGUGUAAUACAUCACAAAUUAAGCAUCAAUACACCUUUAAAUUACCAGUGGUUGGAUUCAGUUCCCAAAACAUUGACUCAGAACAGUUUUAUAUCUAUUAAAUAACUUUGAUAUCAAAAUGGAUGUAUAUGCAAAAGGUGAGAUCUAAAAUACAUUGUGGCUACCUUCUAUUGUUGAAGCUGUUAAAACUGAGGCACUGUAAGCAACUAUUGGUGCCACUCUAGCCGAAUGCUUCUUCAUCUU